rnacentral:lncRNA from 1 species
GGGAAUUGAAUAGUUAUUGGAGCGAUGGGGAGGUAAUUCCUUUGGUUCCUCAAAUAGGUCCGAAUACUGCUCAACCAAUGAAGCAACCUAGGGUCCUCCACCUUUUCCUCCCCAUAGACAAGGAGAAGAGCCGGGCAACCAUUUUCGAAGAACCCUUGCGAACUAGUCUCUCCAUGCAAUGAGAAAUGAUCAUCUUCAUUUCAAUGGCUUGUACCCCUUGCAGUGUGUAUUGUUGCUCUCAAUGGUAAACUACAUCCACAACUCAGAAAAAUCCCAUAAAAUGGGUCCCAGUGUCCGUAGCCAUUGAGCCCCUAAAACAAUGUCACAGGCCCCUAAGGGUAGAGAGUGAUAUCAAGCUUACAAUGGCAAUCUGCCAUAGUUAAAGGUACAUUCCUGGUCUUACCCUUACAGGCCAACUUCCCACAAUUAGCUCUCAUGUUCUGAAAAUUUUCAUAUGGAUAAGUGCAUAGUUCAACUUGCUUUACUGAAUCAUUGAGUUUGGUGCGCAAUUGUUUUCUUACACACCCCUGAACUCACAUGGUUUGGGCUGAAUUAAUCCUAGCUAGAGCAUGCUUCAAAAUUUCAAGGCUCUCUUCCUCUUGUAUAGUGGAUCACCUCCUCCUUAUUUUGCCUUGUUUUCAUCAACGGUGUCACCAUCCAACAAAUAUGGUGUUUGAUUUUUGCAUCUAUGUUGAGGGACUGUGUUUUUCAUAACAAUUGUAACGUAGCCCUUUUUCUCGCUGUUCUUGCAUCUCAACCUGUGUUAGCCAUUUGAUUGGUGGAGUAGUAUACUAUGUAGGAGUGCCGACUGCAAGGACUUCACUUAUUUUAGUGGAUUUCCCUUAUUUUUGACGAUUGAGCCAUUAUUUUAUCUUCCUGAAGUCAGGCUAAGCCAUUGGCCUCCAACAUUAUUUUAGGCUUAAGCAUACAUACAUCAUUUCUAAUUUCUUCCUCGAGUCCACUAACAAAGCAACUUGUAAAAAAUGCAUCAUUAAAACCAGGGAUACAAUUUGCUAACGUCUCAAACUGAGUUGAUACUCACUAACAGUGGAAGUUUGAUGUAGCUUAGUAAGGGCUCAUGCGAAGUCCUCGAAUUGGCUAGGGCCAAGCCUGAUGCAAAGAGCAGUGACAAAGUCUCGCCAUGUUGUAUGGGCCAUUGGUCACUUCGUACCAUUUGUGCCAUUGUAUUGCUUUAUGCUUUAAAUGAAAAGAGGCCAAAUUGACUUUUUGUUCGUCUGGAAUUUGGUUAAGGUGAAGAAUUGCUCUGCGUAAUACACCCAACUUGUUGGAUUCUCGCCGUCAAAUCGUGGACAGCCGAUCAUGGGGAAUGCAUUGGGAAUAUUGUAUUGUUGUUCAUGAAAAAUGUGACGUGGGCUUCCCAAUGUCUAGAUUGUUCAUUAGGUGACUUGAAGGCCGAGACCUCUUAUUGAAACUUUGAAAAGGAAGUUUCCAUCUGGUCAUAUUUUUUAUCCAUGGUUGCUUUGAGA